UGUUUCGCCAUCCAACCGUGGUACGGCUCUAGAGAUUCUUCAUACGAUUUCUUCAGUAUCGCUACGAGAUCCUCGGUCCCUUUCUCUGCUUGGCAGUCUUGGACAAUUUUCUCGAAGAAAGAAUGGAUCAUGUGCAAAUCUCUGCAGACCCGAAAAUUCAACGGCUCACAAAGGAGCGAAAAGUUUGCCAAAUUUUUCUAAAACGUCAAAACAAAAACAUGAAUGACAAGAAUGUUACAUGUGGACGUUGAUAGAUGGAGAGGUUGGUCGAGCCGAAAACUAAGCUUGCCGAUCAAUUUGACGACGCCACGAGAUGCAUUCAAAAAUGUUUUUGUAUCAAUUCGGUCGUUUACAACAUCAGGAAAGUGGGUAAAUAUGUUGCAGGAAGAUUCUCGAUUGCUUCUCUUGCUCGUGCUACGAUUUGAUGUCGACAUUUUAUCCUCAAAUACACGAAGAUCGUCAAUGGUAUGUGCGACUAUGGCGAAACAAACCAUCGACACCAUCGUUGUUUUGUUUUUCUUCGUUAAAUUUCAAUUACCGACAAAUCCGCGAACCAAGCUACUGGGCAAAAAUGUUUUCGCCCGCUGACGAUCAUGCGAUGAAAAUUUUUCCGAAAUUUUCAUUCGGACAUUUAACCGUCACGAGCAUUCGAAAAUUCAUCUCACAAAUCAUCUUGAACAAUAAGCGUUCAAACAACGAUCCGUCGCAAGACCUCGAUCCGUUGAGUUGGUGAUAAAAAGUAUAAAACGUCGAAACAGAGCUGAUUUGUAGUUGCCAUUGUAUUAUUUUCUCUCAAGUAAUUCACAAUCUUUUGAGGGCUCUCACAGUUACAUUAUAUUGUCUCCUGUAAUUUGUCGUUCGGCUAACCUAACGUUAUUAAAAUAAUUUAUGCAAUAAUACUGUACAUAUAUACGAGAGGUUAAUACAAUAUACAAGUUUGGUACAGCCUA